CAUGCAGGCGGUUAGACAAGUCAGGUGUGAAAUCCCCGCGCUUAACGUGGGCAUUGCAUCUGAAACUAUGUAGCUAGAGUUCUGUAGAGGGGGGUAGAAUUCCAGGUGUAGCGGUGAAAUGCGUAGAUAUCGGGAGGAACAUCCGUGGCGAAGGCGGCCACCUGGGUCAACACUGACACUGAGGCACGAAAGCGUGGGGAGCAAACAGGAUUAGAUACCCUGGUA
rnacentral:rRNA from 1 species